rnacentral:rRNA from 1 species
AGAGUUUGAUCAUGGCUCAGAUUGAACGCUGGCGGCAUGCUUUACACAUGCAAGUCGAGCGGCAGCGCGGGGGCAACCCUGGCGGCGAGCGGCGAACGGGUGAGGAAUACAUCGGAACGUACCCCGGAGUGGGGGAUAACGCCGCGAAAGCGGCGCUAAUACCGCAUAUGCUCUGAGGAGGAAAGUGGGGGACCUGCAAGGCCUCACGCUCUGGGAGCGGCCGAUGUCCGAUUAGCUAGUUGGUGGGGUAAUGGCUUACCAAGGCGACGAUCGGUAGCUGGUCUGAGAGGAUGAUCAGCCACACUGGGACUGAGACACGGCCCAGACUCCUACGGGAGGCAGCAGUGGGGAAUUUUGGACAAUGGGGGCAACCCUGAUCCAGCCAUGCCGCGUGCGGGAAGAAGGCCUUCGGGUUGUAAACCGCUUUUAGUCGGGAAGAAAAGGCGCCAGCUAAUACUUGGCGUUCUUGACGGUACCGGCGGAAUAAGCACCGGCUAACUACGUGCCAGCAGCCGCGGUAAUACGUAGGGUGCGAGCGUUAAUCGGAAUUACUGGGCGUAAAGCGUGCGUAGGCGGUUCGUUAAGUUUGUCGUGAAAGCCCCGGGCUCAACCUGGGAAUGGCGAUGGAAACUGGCGGGCUUGAGUAUGGCAGAGGGGGGUGGAAUUCCGCGUGUAGCAGUGAAAUGCGUAGAGAUGCGGAGGAACACCGAUGGCGAAGGCAGCCCCCUGGGCCAAUACUGACGCUCAGGCACGAAAGCGUGGGGAGCAAACAGGAUUAGAUACCCUAGUAGUCC